rnacentral:rRNA from 1 species
AGCGAACGCUAGCGGCGGGCUUAACACAUGCAAGUCGAGCGCCCCUUCGGGGGAGCGGCGAACGGGUGAGUAACACGUAGGUAAUCUACCUUUCGGUGGGGAAUGGCCCGGGGAAACCCGGAUUAAUACCGCAUAUGGUCUUCGGAUCAAAGCCUUCGGGCGCCGAGAGAUGAGCCUGCGUCCCAUUACCUAGUAGGUGGGGUAACGGCCCACCUAGGGAGCGAUGGGUAGCUGGUCUGAGAGGAUGAUCAGCCACACUGGGACUGAGACACGGCCCAG